GCCCCCCAUUACUGAAUCUGGCCCCAUUCCACAAAAUAAUGAGAUGCCCCCCAUUAAUGAUUCUGGCCCAAUUCCAGAAAAUACUGAGAUACCAAUUUCACAACCAUCAUCAACACAUCACAGUCCUGUAAAUAUACCUGCAGAAGAUGAAUCAGAAAAUGAAGAAGAG